UCCAAAAUAAUUGUUUUUUUUGUUUAUCUCUGUGGAAGAUAUCUAAUUUUUGGUUCCAACUUCUAACAAGACUUGUCAGCCAAUAGUAAAACAACGUUGGU